rnacentral:rRNA from 1 species
UACAGAGGGUGCGAGCGUUAAUCGGAAUUACUGGGCGUAAAGCGCACGUAGGCGGCUUGGUAUGUCGGGUGUGAAAUCCCCAGGCUCAACCUGGGAACUGCGUCUGAUACUGGAUGGCUUGAAUUCGGGAGAGGGAUGCAGAAUUCCAGGUGUAGCGGUGAAAUGCGUAGAUAUCUGGAGGAAUACCGGUGGCGAAGGCGGCAUCCUGGACCGACAUUGACGCUGAGGCGCGAAAGCGUGGGGAGCAAACAGG